rnacentral:rRNA from 1 species
UACGGGGGGGGCAAGCGUUGUUCGGAAUUACUGGGCGUAAAGGGUGCGUAGGCGGUCUUCUAAGUUUGAUGUGAAAUCCCGGGGCUCAACCCUGGAAUUGCAUUGGAUACUGGAGGACUAGAGUACCGGAGAGGAAACUGGAAUUUACGGUGUAGCAGUGAAAUGCGUAGAGAUCGUAAGGAAGACCAGUGGCGAAGGCGAGUUUCUGGACGGUAACUGACGCUGAGGCACGAAGGCCAGGGGAGCAAACGGG